CAUUAGCCGCGGUAAUACAGAGGGUGCAAGCGUUAAUCGGAAUUACUGGGCGUAAAGCGCGCGUAGGUGGUUUGUUAAGUUGAAUGUGAAAUCCCCGGGCUCAACCUGGGAACUGCAUCCAAAACUGGCAAGCUAGAGUAGGGCAGAGGGUGGUGGAAUUUCCUGUGUAGCGGUGAAAUGCGUAGAUAUAGGAAGGAACACCAGUGGCGAAGGCGACCACCUGGGCUCAUACUGACACUGAGGUGCGAAAGCGUGGGGAGCAAACAGGAUUAGAUACCCCCGUAGUCCCUGUCUCUUAUAC
rnacentral:rRNA from 1 species